AUUGAACGCUGGCGGAAUGCUUUACACAUGCAAGUCGAACGGCAGCACGGGGCAACCUGGUGGCGAGUGGCGAACGGGUGAGUAAUACAUCGGAACGUGCCCAAUCGUGGGGGAUAACGUAGCGAAAGUUACGCUAAUACCGCAUACGAUCUACGGAUGAAAGCGGGGGAUCGCAAGACCUCGCGCGAGUGGAGCGGCCGAUGUCAGAUUAGGUAGUUGGUGGGGUAAAGGCUCACCAAGCCAACGAUCUGUAGCUGGUCUGAGAGGACGACCAGCCACACUGGAACUGAGACACGGUCCAGACUCCUACGGAGGCAGCAGUGGGGAAUUUUGGACAAUGGGCGCAAGCCUGAUCCAGCCAUUCCGCGUGCAGGAUGAAAGGCCUUCGGUUGGUAAACUGCUUUGUACGGUAACGAAACGACGAGCUCUAUACAGUUGCUAUAGACGUACCGUAAGAAUAAGAC
rnacentral:rRNA from 1 species